rnacentral:rRNA from 1 species
CACGCUGGCGGCUGCCUAUACAUGCAAGUCGAGCGGACGUUUCAGAGAGCUUGCUCUUUGAAACGUUAGCGGCGGACGGGUGAGUAACACGUGGGCAACCUGCCCUACAGAUGGGGAUAACUCCGGGAAACCGGGGCUAAUACCGAAUAAUCAGUUGGUUCGCAUGAACCAACUCUGAAAGACGGUUUCGGCUGUCACUGUAGGAUGGGCCCGCGGCGCAUUAGCUAGUUGGUGGGGUAAUGGCCUACCAAGGCGACGAUGCGUAGCCGACCUGAGAGGGUGAUCGGCCACACUGGGACUGAGACACGGCCCAGACUCCUACGGGAGGCAGCAGUAGGGAAUCUUCCACAAUGGACGAAAGUCUGAUGGAGCAAUGCCGCGUGAGCGAAGAAGGUUUUCGGAUCGUAAAGCUCUGUUGUAAGGGAAGAACACGUACGGGAGUAACUGCCCGUACCUUGACGGUACCUUAUUAGAAAGCCACGGCUAACUACGUGCCAGCAGCCGCGGUAAUACGUAGGUGGCAAGCGUUGUCCGGAAUUAUUGGGCGUAAAGCGCGCGCAGGCGGUCCUUUAAGUCUGAUGUGAAAGCCCACGGCUCAACCGUGGAGGGUCAUUGGAAACUGGGGGACUUGAGUACAGAAGAGGAAAGCGGAAUUCCACGUGUAGCGGUGAAAUGCGUAGAGAUGUGGAGGAACACCAGUGGCGAAGGCGGCUUUCUGGUCUGUAACUGACGCUGAGGCGCGAAAGCGUGGGGGAGC